rnacentral:rRNA from 1 species
GGCUUAUUGAUUAUAAUUUUAAGUYUGACCUGCCCAAUGAGAAGUUAAAUGGCCGCGGUAAUCUGACCGUGCAAAGGUAGCAUAAUCACUAGUUUUUUAAUUGAAAGCUUGAAUGAAAGGUUUGAUGAAAAGGUUUCUGUCUCUUUAAAAAUUUAUUAGAAUUUUAUUUUUAAGUGAAAAAGCUUAAAUGUUUAUAGAAGACGAGAAGACCCUAUAGAGUUUUAUAUUCACAUAUUUUGUUUUAUCAUAGGUAAGAAAGAUUAACUUUUUUUGUGUUUAUUUUGUUGGGGUGAUAGGAAAAUUAAAUAAACUUUUCUAUAUAUUUACAUUAAUAUAUGAAUGUAUGAUCCUAAAUUUUAGAUUAUAAGAUUAAAUUACCUUAGGGAUAACAGCGUAAUCUUUUUUAGAGUUCUUAUCAAAAAGAGGGAUUGCGACCUCGAUGUUGGAUUAAAAUUUAUAGUUGGUGAAGGAGCUAAUUAAUUAA